rnacentral:rRNA from 1 species
ACGGAAGGCCAAGUCAGGUGUGAAAGGCAUAGGCUCAACUUAUGGACUGCACUUGAAACUGGUCAUCUGGAGUGUCGGAGGGGCAGGCGGAAUUCCUGGUGUAGCGGUGAAAUGCGUAGAUAUCAGGAAGAACACCGGUGGCGAAGGCGGCCUGCUGGACGAUCACUGACGUUGAGGCUCGAAGGCGUGGGGAGCAAACGGGAUUAGAUACCCUGGUAGUCCACGCAGUAAACGAUGAAUACUAGGUGCUGGGUUCCACAGAAAUUCGGUGCCGUCGCAAACGCAUUAAGUAUUCCACCUGGGGAGUACGUUCGCAAGAAUGAAACUCAAAGGAAUUGACGGGGACCCGCACAAGCGGUGGAGCAUGUGAUUUAAUUCGAAGCAACGCGAAGAACCUUACCAAGUCUUGACAUCCCCCUGACAGAUGCAGAGAUGUGUUUUUCUUCGGACAGGGGAGACAGGUGGUGCAUGGUUGUCGUCAGCUCGUGUCGUGAGAUGUUGGGUUAAGUCCCGCAACGAGCGCAACCCUUAUGGCUAGUAGCCAGCAUUUCGGAUGGGCACUCUAGGCAGACUGCCAGGAAUAACCUGGAGGAAGGUGGGGAUGACGUCAAAUCAUCAUGCCCCUUAUGACUUGGGCUACACACGUGCUACAAUGGCGCCGACAGAGGGAAGCAAGCCUGCGAGGGGGAGCAAAUCCAGAAACGGUGUCCCAGUUCGGACUGUAGUCUGCAACCCGACUAUACGAAGCUGGAAUCG